UACGUAGGGUGCGAGCGUUAAUCGGAAUUACUGGGCGUAAAGCGUGCGCAGGCGGUUCGUUGUGUCGGCGGUGAAAGCCCCCGGGCUUAACCUGGGAAUGGCCGUCGAAACUGGCGAACUGGAGUGUGGCAGAGGGGGGGUGGAAUUCCGCGUGUAGCAGUGAAAUGCGUAGAGAUGCGGAGGAACACCGAUGGCGAAGGCAGCCCCCCUGGGCUGACACUGACGCUCAGGCACGAAAGCGUGGGGAGCAAACAGG
rnacentral:rRNA from 1 species